AGGUGAAGAUGUAAGGGUGAUCUGUCCCCCCAUGGAUCCCCGGGCUGAUUCUGCUGACCUAGCUGCCUGGGCAGGAGUCCCCUCCCUCCCUCAGCGCUCCAUGUGUCCCUCCUGAAGCUGCAUGCCCAAGGAAGGCACCCCCCCAAGGAGGAGGACCAUCGCUCAGAAGUACUGUGCCCCUGCUAGAAACUCCGAGCGAGCCUGCAGCCAGAGACAUCCCUGGUGCUCUAUGGUCAUGUCCCAGGGCAGGGGUGGAGAAACAUCAGGGCUCAGCCCCACCACCACCAGGGCUCUGGGAAGAAAGCCUUCUUUU
rnacentral:snRNA from 1 species